GAAUGGUGUUGCUGGUGCUGUCGGUCUCCCUGCCGGCGCUGAAACCGCCGCCGUGCCACGGCGAUGUGUGCCCGAAGGUCUCAGCCCUGCAGCUCGGCGUCUACUUCGGCGGGCUGUACAUCGUGGCCUUGGGCAACGGCGGCACCAAGCCCAACAUCUCCACCAUCGGCGCCGACCAGUUCGACGAGUUCGACCCGCGGGAGAAGAUGCACAAGCUCUCCUUCUUCAAUUGGUGGAUGUUCACCAUCUUCCUGGGCAUCCUCUUCUCCUCCACCGUCCUCGUCUACCUCCAGGACAACGUGAGCUGGUCCGUCGGGUACGGCAUCCCCACGCUGGGUCUCAUGGUCUCCAUCGCCAUAUUCCUCGCCGGCACCAAGCUGUACCGCCACAGGUUGCCGCAGGGCAGUCCGUUCACGAGCAUGGGCAAAGUGGUCGCCGCCACGCUCUGCAAGUGGAACGUCCCCGUCCCGGCCGACGCCAAGGAGCUGCACGAGCUGGACGUCGAGGAGUACACCAGGAAGCGCAAGUUCCGGAUGGACUCCACCAACACCAUGAGGUUCCUGAACAAGGCCGCCGUGAAGGUGAAGGAUGACGUCGGCAACGGCGGCUCGCCGGCGAAGUGGAGCCUGUGCACGGUGACCCAGGUGGAGGAGACGAAGCAGAUCAUGAAGCUGGUGCCGCUCCUGGUGACCAUGUUCGUGCCGUGCACGCUGAUCGCGCAGACCAACACCCUGUUCGUGAAGCAGGGCGCGACGAUGAACCGGCACAUGGGCCCGCGCUUCCAGAUCCCGCCGGCGAGCCUCGGCGCGUUCGUGACGCUGACCAUGCUCAUCGCCGUCGUCGUCUACGACCUGGUCUUCGUCAAGGCCGUGCGUCGGUACACC
rnacentral:lncRNA from 1 species